UCUCAAAUCAAUCCACCUCUCCAAGAUGGCUCGGAAAGAGGCGCAUUGAGAUCAAUUGAUGGCUUUGGGAAUUACCGCCUCAGAGUACACGGUGCACCUGGUUCUGUUCUGUCAAAUAGCACCGUCUUUGACCUCUUCUUUCUUGACAGUGGAGAUAGAGAAACUGUCCAAGGUAGACGAACAUAUGGAUGGAUCAAGGAUUCUCAACUUAGUUGGCUUCAAGAUGCUUCUAAACAGGUAAAAGAGACUUAAUCAUUUCUUGUUACAUCUGGUGAAAUAUUCUCAUAUUCAGAUCUUUUAUCAUGAUUACACUAAACAUGGUCUUAACCAGAACAUGGGAAACGUUCCCAGUAAUCCUGAUCCAGCGCUAGCCUUCUUCCACAUUCCAAUCCCGGAAGUCCGUGAUCUGUGGUACACACCCUUUAUUGGCCAGUUUCAGGAGGGUGUGGCGUGCUCCAUCGUGCAAUCAGGAGUCUUAAGUACCUUUUUGUCCAUGGGAAAUGUAAAAGCCGCGUUCAUAGGACACGACCAUGUCAAUGAUUUCUGCGGAAAUCUAAAAGGAGUCUGGUUUUGUUACGGUGGAGGAUUUGGAUACCAUGCAUAUGGAAGACGAAAUUGGCACAGAAGAUCGCGACUGAUUGAGGCUAAGCUCGGGAAAGGAAAAGACACGUGGACAGGAGUUCAACGUAUCAAGACGUGGAAACGUCUAGACGAUGGAGACUUGUGCAAGAUAGACGAACAAGUCCUAUGGGAAGCUUCCUACUCGUUUCUGAAGUGACCUAGGGACAAGGCAAAUAAGGUAUAUUGAUUUCUUUUUUUCAUGAUUGCCCAUCUUUUCGAUGUUUUGUAGUUUUGUGUAAGAAAUUUCUGAGUCUAAUGCUUUUAGGCUUCUGGUCAUACUUAAUGUCAUGCAUAUGUGUCUGUUCGUUGUUAAAACGUUUUUCAGAUGGUCAUAAUGUGAGAUCCUAUUCAGUAUUGACAUCAUCGUCUGUUAGACCACUCGUGCUGAAACAUAUGUGAACUGAAACACCGAAUUUCGUUUUUUAGAUUUUUUCAAAAUGUCACUUUCCUUGUUUUACCUGUGUGAUCUCUUUGACGACUAUAAUCAUCUCGUUAAUUACGAAUACUUAAAUUAUUGGAUUUAAAAAACAUAUAUUUGGUUUUUUUUCUUUUAAUUAUUUAUUAGCUAAUUAACAUCGCAUGAUUGACUUUGUUGGGUAUUGUUACACAUAUUUUGAUUGUCAAAUCAUUUCUUUUUUCUUUUUGCUAUAUGCUGUUUCACUAUCUUUGUCAUUUUUUUUUGCUACCUUGUCUUGUAAUAGUUUAUGUUUCUGUCUCCUAUCCUUUUCCUUUUUGGUCAUGACUUUUAUAUAAAAAAAUUAUUUAUUUUAAUAUUAUUAAGUUGGAACAUUUCUUUAGUGCUCACACUGUAGAUAUUGACAAACAGGUACAGAAUAGUUAAGACUGAUGAAUAAAGACCUCGUGUCGAAUAAUUAUCAACCUGAAUACUCUAUAUUAUUUUAAUAUUAUGCUAGUCUUUUGUUGUUUUUAUUUUAGUUAGAAAAUACUACCUUUAUUUUUUUAUUGACCAAUUACUGUUUACUACUAAUAAUUGACAUUGUCAAACCCUUCUUUUGUUUCAGUAAGGAGGAUACAACGCUGGUGUGUAUAUUAACUGGAAACCUACGUUGUUGUCUCCAGAGAGCUUGGUCUGUCUCAUUCUAGUUUUAUCACUGCCCUUCUCUAUAUAAAGCUCACAGGUCGAGAGAGACAAGAGACACCACAUAAACGAUCAGACAGUUGAUUAGAGAGAACUCUGUCGGAAAAUGGAUAACGUCGACCAAGAGUUCAACAAUUACUGGGAAACAAACUCCUUCCUCCAAAACGAAGACUUCGAAUAUGACAGGUUCUUUCUUGUUUUUUUCAUUUUUGUCUCUCUCUUUCUAUAUCCCCACUUUCCCGGAAACACUUGAGAUUCUGAUAUUCGUUUCUUUCUCUAAUAGCUGGCCUUUGGAGGAAGCGAUUUCUGGGUCGUAUGAUUCGAGUUCGCCUGAUGGGGCGGCUUCGUCUCCGGCUUCUAAGAAUAUUGUGUCGGAGAGAAACAGAAGACAGAAGCUUAACCAGAGACUCUUCGCUCUUCGAUCAGUUGUCCCCAAUAUCACUAAGGUUUGUUUUUUAAAAAGUUCCCAUCUAAACUCGUUGUCUUCUAGUUCCAAGAUCCAAGCUUAUUAUGGUAUCUGUUUUACUUUUUCUUUGGUAGAUGGAUAAAGCAUCAAUAAUCAAAGAUGCAAUUAGUUACAUACAAGGGUUGCAAUAUGAAGAGUCGAAGCUCGAAGCGGAGAUCAGAGAACUUGAAUCUACUCCAAAGAGUAGCCUGAGCUUCAGUAAAGAUUUUGAUCGUGAUUUGCUGGUUCCUGUCACAUCCAAGAAGAUGAAGCAGCUUGAUUCUGGUCCUUCCCGUUCUCUCAUUGAAGUUCUCGACGUAAAUUUCUGUGCUUUCCUACUUUAACACCUUGAAUCAUUUAAACUAAAAAAAAUCAUUAAAAAUUGUGGGGUUUUUAUUGGGUGAUUGAAGCUGAAGGUGACAUUCAUGGGAGAGAGGACAGUGGUAGUGAAUGUAACAUGUAAUAAGAGGACAGACACAAUGGUGAAACUGUGUGAAGUCUUUGAGUCAUUGAAUCUCAAAAUCAUCACUUCCAAUCUCAACUCUUUCUCUGGCAUGAUCUUCAACACUGUCUUUAUUGAGGUCAGCAUCUCCCUCUCUCUCUCCAAUUUGUCAUUAGUUAAUUACUAUCAAGUAGUAAUGAUUACAAUUAGUCAAGACGUGGACAGUAAACUUUUCAAAGAAAAAAAAGUAAAAGGAAGCAUUCAUAUAUAUUAGUAGGGGUUGGCAUUUUAUCCGAUAUCCGAAGUCGCACCCGAACCCGAUCCGAAAAACCCGAACCGAAAUCCGAACCGAAGUAGCAAAAUACCUGAACGGGUAUUGAAUAAGGAGAGAUUGGAUACCUGAACCCGAACGGAUAAUACCCGAACCCGAAUGGAUAUCCGAAGAUAACCGAACAUAUGUAUAAUUAACCUUAUAUUUCUAGUUUACAUCUCUCAUUUUAUAUAAAAUAUUUAUAUUGAUACUAUACAUACUUUAAGUUCAUAUGAUAUACAUACAAUUACGGAAAAAAACAGGUAGGCAUGAAGUUCUAGGCAAGAUGAACUCAUAAAUACUACAUUGGCUUAGAUGACAAAACUAGUUAUUCGUUAAGUUAUCUGGAUAAAAAAGACAUAUAAUCUAAAUGUAAUAAUCCGUAGUUGUGUUAUGAGAAUUGUUAAAGCCAUCAAAAGGCACUUGCUUAGAUAAUAAGGACCAUGGUCUAAAUGGUCUUCAGAAUUUUGUCCAAUCAUAGCCCGAGUAGAAACAUGGGUAUAUAGCCAUAUUAGGUCCAAUUAGAUUUGGACAAAGGACAACCAAAAUACUCCUUACUUGACAGCUCAUAGUUGACAGGUACUAAAAGAAUGUGAUAUGUCCUCGUUUAUGAACCCUACUUGCAAGAAAUUUGACUACAAGAUCCACCCGUCGAGCAGGGACGAAAGUCGGUUAGCCCAACCAUUUGACAGCUCUAGGUAUAGUUGACAACAACAACAACAAACAAUAUGGUGCUGGGGUGGGUGGACGUGCUAUUUCCCCACGAAAACUAUUAUAUAGCAUCAGAUGUCCACCAAACUAUGACAUCGUUCUAAAUCUCUCCAAAUUGAAAAUUAGAAAUCUAUUUCUCCCCGAAUUGAUAGUUCGAAAUGUAAUUAUCCAUAGACCAUUGUUUUAACUUGUUUGCUGUUAACCAAACAAUUUUUAACAAACUAAACCAAAAAAAAAUCAGACCAGACUAUCUAACAGUUCCGACCCCUUUACAUCUUCUUCUUCACCCGAGGAGCGAGAGACUCAAUUCCUCCUCCUUCACCAUCCCCAACAUUGAUAUCUAUUUGAGAGGAAAUAUUUGAAGGUUUGAGAGGAAAUAUUUGAAGGUUUGAUAUCUUUUUAUGCUGGUGUAUUGUUUAUGUCAUCGAGAUCUGAUAUAUUUUAGAGUUGCGGAUCAAGUGUUUCUAAUUUCAUCUGAAUUUUGAUUGUUUUAGGAUAUAUCAAAAGUUUUCUCUAAUCUGUAAGAAAACAAGUGGAGGAAGAGUGUCAUCAUCUCUUGCUCGUUGGGAGAAGAAGACACUAACGGUUCAAGUUUGGUUUUUCUUUUCUUUUUUUGUUUAGUUGGUUAAAAAUGUUUGGUUUAGUUGGUUAAAUUGCUUGGUAAACAGUAAACCAGUUAAAACUGUAAAUUUUGGGUAAUUAAAUUUCAAACUAUCGAUUCAGGGAGAAAUAAGUUUGUAUAUUUAAUUCAGGGAGAUUUAGAACGAGGUCAUAGUUUGGUGGACAUUUGUUACUAUAUGAUAGUUCUCGUGGAGAAAUAGCACGUUUAGUUCCAAGCAAAGUCCAAGUUUUCAAGUCGAGUAGAUCCUUCGGUUUAUAUUCCUUUUUUUUUAAUUUUUUUUUCCUUUUCAAUGUAAAAUUUAUGUUACUAAUAUGGGGGGGUUUAACUGGUGUAAGUCGUUUUUCUCUUUCGAAUGUAGUAUAAAUGUGUUUUAAAUUUGGCAAACAAAUGUGUGUUCAUUUUUUUUGCAGAACUACUCAUUAGUAACACUACAAUCCACACUGAAAGGAAAACUAGUCUUCAUCUUCUUACCCAAGUCCAAAAAUGUGAACUGAAAUUAACCCAAAAAAAUCAAAUCGAAACUGAUCAGACAAAGUACAUAUAUGAAUCCAAAACUAUAAUAUUUGAAAAUUUAUAUUCGAUAAGAACCGAUUCUGAAUGUUUAUGACUAUUGACUUUCCGCGUCCUUUUCUCAUUUAUGAUUUAGUUUGCAACGUAUUUCUAUUUGUAAACUUUAUCUUUUUGUGAACUUUAGUUAGUAUAAAAUUGUAUGUCUAAUUUAGAGAUUAAAAUGUUAGUUUCAUUUAAAAAAAAAAAACAAUACAUUUGACGGAUCUAAAUAGAAAGAAUAAACAACUAAAUCGAAUAAUAUUUGAAUUUUUUUGAAUAUGUAUAACUAUAAAAAUAUAGAACCAAAUGAAAUCGAUCCAAAACAGAAUAAAACUCUUAUGGACACGUUUAAACUGAAUUUUAGAAGCAAAGGAAAAAAACUAUUCGCCACUGGUAUACCGGGGCAUUAUGUGAAGUGAAAAAAGCACAAUGGGAUUUCAAACCGCCUUUUAUCGCGACUUGUAAUCCGCCAAACGCGCGUUAUUUGCGGCCGCGAUUACGGACUUCAAAUCAAACUAUUUUAGAAAGUUGUAGGAUGAUUAUCCUCGAUCUCUCGGUCUAGCAAACAGUGGGGAAGAAGAAGGAAGUGAGAAUGAGUCCUGCAAGAAUAACUGUGAACUGGAAGCACACUAUCCUCUACUUAACCCUAAUCAUAUCUCUUAUCUACUCCAUCGAAACCCUAAUCUCGCACAAACUACAAGUCAACCACAACCAAAUCCGCCUCAAAAGGUCUCCGAAUCUCCCUCUACGGUUCCGCGACGACGGCACCUUCAAAAUCCUCCAGGUCCGUUACGUUAGUCCCUUUUCAAAAUUCGUGCAGUUUCGCUUGUGUUUGAUUUGAUGUGGUUUCGAAUGGUCGACGAUCGCUGGCUACAGGUUGCGGAUAUGCAUUUCGGGAUGGGUAGCAUCACUCGAUGCAGAGAUGUGACGGAUGCAGAAUACGGUUACUGUUCUGAUCUCAAUACCACUCAGUUCCUUCGGAGGAUGAUUGAAGCUGAGAGACCCGAUCUCAUCGCAUUUACUGGUAAGCCAUGCGUCAUUCAUUGAUUCUCUUAUGAUCUGUGAAAGCGCGAGGGAGAAGUACUGGUGUUGAUUUGAGAGCUAUAAAUAAUGUUUAGUGAAACUGAAAGCUUGUAAGAGCUCCUCCAAGUGAUGAUGAAACUUGAAUGUGAUCAACAAUUAGCUUGGAUAUAAGAUUUAGUGAUGAUGAAACUUGAGACAUUUGAUCCACAGUUAGCUUGGAUGUAAGAUUUAGCGAUGAUGAAACUUCAGUGAGCAAACACAUUUGAUCAACAAUUAGUUUCCAGUUAGUUAUAAUAUCUAUUUGAUCGAUGUGACAGUUUUAAAGGAAGGAUUAGAGCUGAUUCGCUAACUUUUGUUGUUGGUGAUUAUUAGGGGAUAAUAUAUUUGGAUCAAGCACUACUGAUGCAGCUGAAUCUCUUCUUCAAGCCAUUGGUCCAGCCAUUGAAUAUGGAAUCCCAUGGGCUGCCAUUUUAGGAAAUCAUGACCAGGAGUCCACUAUGAACCGUGCAGAGCUGAUGACUUUCCUCUCGCUUAUGGAUUUUUCUGUCUCUCAAAUCAAUCCACCUCUCGAAGAUGGCUCGGAAAGAGGCGUAUUGAGAUCAAUUGAUGGCUUUGGGAAUUACCGCCUCAGAGUACACGGUGCACCUGGUUCUGUUCUGUCAAAUAGCACCGUCUUUGACCUCUUCUUUCUUGACAGUGGAGAUAGAGAAACUGUCCAAGGUAGACGAACAUAUGGAUGGAUCAAGGAUUCUCAACUUAGUUG
rnacentral:lncRNA from 1 species